CACAGAAAGCGCAAUGUGAGCCUCCCUCCGCUGGCUGCACAGAAUGCACAAUGUGAGCCUCCCACCGCUGGCUGCACAGAAUGCGCAAUGUGAGCCUCCCUCCGCUGGCUGCACAGAAAGCGCAAUGUGACCCUCCCUCGCUGGCUGCACAGAAAGCGCACGGUGAGCCUCCCACCGCUCGCUGCACAGAAAGCACACGGUGAGCCUCCCUCCGCUGGCUGCAC